UUUUUAUCCACCACAAUUGAUUCUACGUAAGCUUGCCGCUUUUGGGUUCCAGUGGAAAUCGAGUCCGGGAGCCUAUGAUUUUCUUUCAUUGAAGUCCGAUGCCAUUGAGACUUGGGAGAUAUCCCAUCUCAAGAUUGGUUUCCGUAUUGAAUUCCAUGGGUUGGAGAUGAGAUCACCGGAUUAUGGGUUAGGUAAGAUUCUGAUUUUUUGUUUAUGUUGUGAUGCACAUGCUAUUGAAAUGUGGCCUCGAGAUGUUUGAUGUUAAACGAUUGAGAAAAUGCAUACCCAAUUGGUCAAAAGGGAAAUUCGACUGGAUUAUAUCAGAUUAUGAGUUGUAAGGAAAAGAAAAUCGCAGUUCGGUCGAACAUCGCAGUUCGGUUGAAUGUUCGUCUGUGUUCUUGCGUUGAGUUUG
rnacentral:lncRNA from 1 species